GAAAGCGAUGCUAAUACCGGAUGAUAUGUAUUCUUCUUCGGAUAGAUACAUGAAAGCCUGCCUCUACUUGUAAGCAGGUGACAUCAGAUGGGUCCGCGUACCAUUAGCUGGCUGGUGGGGUAAUGGCCUACCAGGGCGACGAUGGUUAGCUGGUCUGAGAGGAUGAUCAGCCACACUGGAACUGACACACGGUCCAGACUCCUACGGGAGGCAGCAGUGAGGAAUUUUGCGCAAUGGGGGCAACCCUGACGCAGCAACGCCGCGUGAGUGAUGAAGGCUUUUGGGUCGUAAAGCUCUGUCAGCAGGGAAGAACGGGUUUUGUAUUAAUAGUGCAAGACUUUGACGGUACCUGCAAAGGAAGCACCGGCUAACUCCGUGCCAGCAGCCGCGGUAACACGGGGGGUGCAAGCGUUAUUCGGAAUUAUUGGGCGUAAAGCGCACGCAGGCGGUGUGGUCAGUCAGAUGUGAAAGCCCGGGGCUCANCCCCGGAAGUGCAUUUGAAACAGCCACACUUGAGUACUGGAGAGGAAAGGGGAAUUCCUGG
rnacentral:rRNA from 1 species